CGGGCAUGCCUAAGACAUGCAAGUCGAACGAAGUAGCCUGUUGAAGAUGGAGUGCUUGCACAAAGUCUGAUUCAGAUUCUACUUAGUGGCAGACGGGUGAGUAACACGUGGGUAACCUACCUCAGAGACUGGGAUAACAGUUAGAAAUGACUGCUAAUACCGGAUGAUUCAUAGUUAGAUAACUAAUUAUGCUAAAAGAAGCGUUUGCUUCACUUUGAGAUGGGCUUGCGUUGUAUUAGUUAGUUGGUGGGGUAACGGCCUACCAAGACAACGAUGCAUAUCCGAGCUGAGAGGCUGAUCGGACACACUGGGACUGAGACACGGCCCAGACUCCUACGGGAGACAGCAGUUAGGAAUAUUCGUCAAUGGGGGAAACCCUGAACGAGCAAUGCCGCGUGAGUGAUGAAGGUCUUAUAGAUUGUAAAACUCUGUUGUAAAGAAAGAAACCUUAAGAUAGGAAAUGAUCUUAAGCUGACGGUACUUUACCAGAAAGCCCCGGCUAACUACGUGCCAGCCGCCGC
rnacentral:rRNA from 1 species